rnacentral:pre_miRNA from 1 species
AAGAACAACAACAGUGGCAGCGGCCAGCUCUGUAGCCCUGUAUUCAGUUCCUGCAGUAACUAUGGAGCUCUCCAUCUUCAGGGGCCUGGAUGCUCUGGGGGCAG